AUGUCAUGCCUCAUUAAACCGGACAUGCAUCAUACUUGUUUGUGCAUCAUGACAUGUUUAUUCUUGUGUGUUUACCAUGUUGUUUGCUUCUUUCCGGUUUGCUUCUCUCGUUAUCUUCGGUUUUGUUCUGGAGUUGUGAGGAUUCGUUCGACUACAUCUGUUUGUCUUCUUCAUGGACUCGUUCUUCUUCCUUGUGGGAUUUCAGUUGCAGGUGCCGAUGAUACCAGUGCAGGUGAUGUAACCGAGCUCAGAUGGGAGCUCAACGAAGAUCUUGGUUGUUGCUAUGAUUCGUUUCAUGUUGAUCAGUAG
rnacentral:rRNA from 1 species